rnacentral:misc_RNA from 1 species
AAAAUAAUCCUACCCUUUGUGAAUUUUGUUUGUUUGAAUAAUUUUUUUUUUUUAAAAAAUUAUUGGAGUCUUUCCCUUUAGAGUUUGCUUUUGAGUUUGUAAAAGAAUUCGAAAACAUCUAAAGGGGAUGGUCAAUAAUUUUUUUUGAAAAAGACAUUUUUUAAAAUUAAACUUUUUGUAUUCAUUUGUCUAAAAAUUAUUUUUAUAAUAUAAAACAACUUUUGACAAUGGAUCUCUUGGUUCUCGCAACGAUGAAGAACGCAGCAAAAUGCGAUAAGUAGUGUGAAUUGCAGAAUACGUGAAUCAUCGAAUCUUUGAACGCAUAUUGCACUUUUUUAGUUUACUAAAAAAGUAUGUCUGUUUGAGUAUCAGUAAAAUAUUCUCAUAAAAAUCAUUGUAUUUUUAUGGUUAUGAGUGUUUUACAACGAUACAAGUUGUUUCACUUUAAAUUUUUUUUAAUAUUGAAAUUUUUCUAAUUUUAAUAAUUAAAAUUGGAUAAAAUUUUCCCGUCAAAAGGAAUAACCUAAACAAUUUUAAACGAUUAAUUUUAGCAAAAUUUUCGUAAAAAAGGAAAAUUUUUAUUAAAAUAACUUGAUCUCAAAUCAGAUAAGAGUACCCGCUGAACUUAAGCAUAUCAAUAAGCGGAGGAAAAGAAACUAACAAGGAUUCCCUUAGUAACGGCGAGUGAAGCGGGAAGAGCUCAAAUUUGAAAUCUUCAAGGUUUUACCUUGACGAGUUGUAGUUUAAAGAAGUGUUUUCUGCUGAAGUUUUGGUAAAAGUUCUUUGGAAUAGGACAUCAUAGAGGGUGAGAAUCCCGUAUUUGACCAUUAUUUUCAGCUUUGUGAUACACUUUCAAAGAGUCGGAUUGUUUGGGAAUGCAGUCCAAAAUGGGUGGUAAAUUUCAUCUAAAGCUAAAUAUUGGCGAGAGACCGAUAGCGAACAAGUACCGUGAGGGAAAGAUGAAAGAACUUUGAAAAGAGAGUUAAACAGUACGUGAAAUUGUCAAAAGGGAAGCGUUUGACACCAGUGUUGUUUUCUCGAAAAUCAAUUAAAAAUGGCUCGAUUUUGUAUUGCUGAGACCUUAAAAGCUCACUGUACAUUUUUCGUGUCUUUUUUAAUGCACUUUUCGUUUAACAAGUCAACAUCAGUUUCUUUUGUUGUAAAAGGGUCAUUGGAAGGUGGCUUUCUUUUCGGAGAAAGUGUUAUAGCCUUUGGCCUCUGCAAUCGGAGAGACUGAGGUCUGCAGCGUAGACUCUUCGGGGUUAGAUACAUUUGUGCUAAGUUAUAGCUUUUUAUAGACAACUUGUUGACUAUAAUUAGUCUUGUAGCUUACUCGCUUAUGCUAUUUUACCUACGCUUAGGAUG